rnacentral:rRNA from 1 species
UACGGAGGGGGCGAGCGUUAUUCGGAAUUAUUGGGCGUAAAGAGCGUGUAGGCGGCUAUACAGGUCCGUUGUGAAAACUGGAGGCUUAACCUCCAGACGUCGAUGGAAACCGUAUGGCUAGAGUCCGGAAGAGGAGAGUGGAAUUCCUGGUGUAGCGGUGAAAUGCGCAGAUAUCAGGAAGAACACCCGUGGCGAAGGCGGCUCUCUGGGACGGUACUGACGCUGAGACGCGAAAGCGUGGGGAGCGAACAGG